CAGUGGGUCCCUCCUAGGAAUGGUGGGGUGGUUGGCCCUGCCCUUAUGGGCACACUCCCCUCUGGAGAGCUCUGGGAUCUAAGCCCAUUUGUCCUUUCUGGGGGCCCUUUCCAUGCCCGUCCUGCUCCGCCCUCCAGUUCCAGGCACCUUGCUGUCACCAGGAUGGUGAUUCUGGUUUUAGUCCUGCUGUUUUUCUCCAAGAUCUCAGGGGCAGUGGGGAGAGGACAGCAGACCCGUCUUCACACUUUGUGCUGAAACCUGGCACAGGUCAGAAAGGUGCGACUUGCAGGGAAGAGAUAGCUCAGGAGGUGGCUCCCCAGGGGGCCCUGGACAAGGAUCGGGGCGAGUUUUAUCUGGGAAGGUGUCUGAGGGAGAAGCCACCUGCCAUGGAGACGAGCAGGACACAGUGGUGGGCUGGGGUCCCCAGGUGAGGGUGCAGCGUUUGCCCUCAACUCCCAUGACGACUGGGACUGCAUCCCAGCACCUCCUCACAGUGUGAUGGCCUGUCCUGUGGACAGAGAGCACGCCAGGUGGCAGCCCAUGUCUGGGUAGCCUCCAUUCUUUCCCAGUACUAUCAUAACGUGAGGGUGCAAUUAGAGCUUUGCACGCAUGCCUGUUUUGGCUAUGUCAGGUGUUACUGGGAUAUUUAAAGCACUGGGAUGUUUUGAAUCCCCAAGAUGUUGUUGGUCCUUUACCAGCUUCCAGUUCGCAGGACAUCAAGACGUCCAAGCCUCUGUGGCCACCGUGUUUGGAAGGAGCGCUGCCCUUGGUGUCGGGUGGAUCUUGCUGAGAAUAAGUCCCAUCUGGGUCUGCACUCUGCUUGCUGUGACAAGAGGUGACCCAGGCCAUGUUCGGGCUCAGGGGUGUGGCUCAGAAAGCCCAUGAUCUGGGGAAGCACAGAAACCAACCUGCCCCAGGAGACUUGAAACUGCUGCCAAAGACAAGAGGAGGCCCCCUCGCUGCACACCAGUGCUGAAAGGACAACAGUGAACCAACCCAGGACUUCCCAGGAGACUACACAUGCCCCCGGCCCAGGUCCAGGUACUUGGCCUUUUUGUUUUGCUGUUGGAGGCUCACUGCCAUGAGGAUAGGAACAUGUUCUGGAGAGACCACCACCUUUCCCAUGAGGACAUCCCCCUGGGAUGCACAGAGGUACUGUCGUAGGCCAGGCCCUGCAGCACAAGGAGCUCAGGGCACACACUAGUCAGGACCUGGGGGAUGAAGCAGUGAGGCAGAUGGACUGGUCUCUCUAGGUCCUCAGGAGUAGGGGUUGGGGGGGGGAUGCGUCAGCCCCAGGCCUUUCCCACCUUGGACCCAGUCCUCCCACGCCCCCUGCACCAUCUCCUCUGUGGGUCCUGGAGCUGUGUCCAAAGCUGGGAGGUCAGCUGCCUGGGAAAAAUCAAAUGCUGGCGGGCAGUGGUCACUGCUGAGUUCCCAGAUGAGUCACUGCAUGACAGUCACCUUCCUCAUUCCUGACAGGCCCGAAUAAGUCAGCCCCGAAGAGGGGGUUCUCAUCCCCAAGCAUCCCUCCCCCCAUGAAUCAAGCCUCCAGCCUAUUUUUAGGCCAUUUCUUCGGAUUGUCAAAGCUUGUUUACCCUGGAUCGGGGCUGCUUCAAAACUCUCCACCCAACUACCAGCCCCAAGACGAAGAGCGAGGAAGUGAACAGUGGCCGCCCGGUCAGACCACGGGGGCCAGGCUGAACAGCUUGUGACAGUUGGACAUCCUCCAGCUGGGGCUCUGGUGCCCCCCACCGAAGCUGUUAAGGUGGCCCCCAGAGCCCAUCCUGCUCUCUGCCUCCCGAGAGGGACUGAGAACUCCAGCUCAGACCCAGCUCCGCCCCAGAAGAGGCUCAUUAAAGUCCGGAUUCUUUCACUCCUUCGUUCUACGUCCCCCCCCCAGGAGAGAAGUAGGAGCAGCAUCAGG
ensembl:lincRNA